rnacentral:rRNA from 1 species
CCUAACACAUGCAAGUCGAACGCUUUCGGGGUUUCGGCCUCCGAGGGAGUGGCGGACGGGUGAGUAGCGCGUGGGAACCUGCCCCUUUGUGGGGGAUAACCGAGGGAAACUUCGGCUAAUACCGCAUGCGCCCGGGGUAACUCCGGGAAAGAUUUAUCGCAGAGGGAGGGGCCCGCGUCGGAUUAGGUAGUUGGUGGGGUAACGGCCUACCAAGCCUGUGAUCCGUAGCUGGUCUGAGAGGAUGAUCAGCCACACUGGGACUGAGACACGGCCCAGACUCCUACGGGAGGCAGCAGUGGGGAAUAUUGGACAAUGGGCGCAAGCCUGAUCCAGCAAUGCCGCGUGAGUGAUGAAGGCCUUAGGGUUGUAAAGCUCUUUCGGCGGGGACGAUGAUGACGGUACCCGCAGAAGAAGCCCCGGCUA